CGCGUAGGCGGCCUUCUAAGUCGGACGUGAAAUCCCUCGGCUUAACCGAGGAACUGCGUCCGAUACUGAAAGGCUUGAAUCCGGGAGAGGGAUGUGGAAUUCCAGGUGUAGCGGUGAAAUGCGUAGAUAUCUGGAGGAACACCGGUGGCGAAGGCGGCAUCCUGGACCGGCACUGACGCUGAGGCGCGAAAGCUAGGGGAGCAAACG
rnacentral:rRNA from 1 species